CAGGCCAGGUUCCUGAGAGCAGACAGCGCGGGCUGGGAGCGCCGGCAAGGGCGGCCCUCGCGCACCUGGCUGCCAGCCCGCAGGGGGCUCGCACGCAGACCUGCCCUUGCCACCUCAGCGCUCGGGUGCGGGCUGGGGGCGGUGGAGCCACGAAAGGUGGUGCCGAGAGCGGAGCGCAGGACAGCGCAGGAGCCCCGGCGCAUCGCGGCGCGCACAGACCCAGGAUUUGUGAAGAGGUGACCCAAAUUUCAAGACAAUGUUGGAUGCAAACGGAUUUGCCAGCAACUGCAUCACUGUCAAAACCAGCUCUGCCCGUGUCUUCCGAAGAUACCAAGUGAAAUACAUGUAGAUGGGAUUUACAUCUGAAAAACCAAGGCAAGAGGCCAUGGGAAGGGACGGAGGUGGAACAGGACUGGACAGAAGCUGAUAAAUGGUUGUUGCUGAGUACUGGGCAGAUAGGGGUUGGUUAUCCUAUUGUCUUUACUUUCAUAUAUUUUAUUUUUUCUGUAAUAAAACAAAUUAAAAUCACCUGUCGUGACCUCACAGGGGCCAGUGUGGGUUGUGGCGUGAGGCAGGAAGCUCUGCAGAGUUCCUUGGUCAAAAGGAUUAAUUACAAAAGAACUCCAUGAACACCGAGAAGAAGAGAAGGGAAUCCUGGCAUUUAAAGCCACAAAGAAACUUGAUAUGGUCUUGUCUCCUUCUCUCAAUUGACAGUGAGAAACUGAAGACCAGAGAGGGUGAGUGGUUUACUCAGUUUGGCACAACUGACCCCAACCUAGCCCUCCAUGAGGACUGAGCGCAUGAGAGAUCCUGAGCCACAGCCGCCCAGCCCUGCUCCUCUCGAAUUUCUGACCUACAGGAACUGCAAGAAGUAAUGAAAGACUGCUGUUUAAAGCCACUGCAUUUUGGCAUGAUUUGUUAUGCAGUCGUAGAUAACCAGAAAACAUCGGAUUUACAUUUUAAGGUAAACUUUUUAUUGAAACAUCACAUACACACAGAGACGUCCACCAAUUGGCUCGAUGAGCUUUCUCAAAGGAAACACAUUCUCUGAGCAGUGUGCACAUCCAGACACAUCAUCUCCAUCCUCCAGAAGCCCCCUCCUGUUAUCGCCACUCACAGGUCACCCGUCUCCUGACUUGCAGCCACAGAGAUAGUCCUGCCUAAUUCUGAACGUGGUACAAACGGAAUCAUACAGAAUGGGCUUGGCUUCUUUCACUCUGGGCUGUGUUUAUGAGCAUCACCCAGAUUGCUGCAUGGAAGCCAUCGUUUGUUCAUUUUCACCACCAUAGAGUAUUCUACUGUUGAUGGGACAUAGGCUAUUUAUUCCUUCUACUGUUGAGGGACGCAUAGUUAUUUCCAGCUGGAGACUGGUAUAUGUCUCUUGGCUACCUUCUGCAUGCAUUUCUGUUGGAGGUUGUUUCAGGUAUCUCUUAACGUAUAACAGACCACCCUCAAAUUGAGUCCUUGAAACAAUUACCAUUUUCUUCUUUCUCAGGAUUUGGUGCAUGGGAUGGGCUCAGUUGGGCAGUUCUUCUGUUCCAUGUGAUGGUACUGGGGCUGCAGUCAUUCAGAGGCUCAACUGGGCUGAACGUGCAAGGUUUCUUGCUCACGUGGCCAUCAGUGGUGCUGGCUGCUGUUGGGAGCUCCACUGGACUUCUGUCCAGAGCUCCUCAGCUCACCUCUCUGUAUCCUUGCCCUGUGGCUCAGGCUUCUAACAAUACAGAGGCUGGAUUCCAAGAGGAGGGAAUUAGAAGCGUUCAGCCUUCUUAAGACCAGGAUUCAGAUGUCCCAGACUGUCACUGUAUUGACCGGAGCAUUUACAGGCCAGCCUAGUAAUUUUUCCAUCUUGGGCAGGAAUGGGUGGCAUAUGCUGGGGGUAGGGGUAGCAUUGUUGGGGAUCAUCUUUGGAGCUGUGUGCCAAGGAGUAAAUUGCUGGGCUGCUUUCUACCUGAGGAAGUCCACUAUGCUUGCUUGUGGAGAGUGGAUUGUGUGCUCAGAGUCCACAAGGAUUUAAGAAUCCGAGCCCUGCUGCCCUUGCCUCAGCCUGUGCAUUAGGGCCCGGUGGUGAGAGCACUGAGCCAUUGUGAAUCAAGGCCCCUCCCUCGACCUGCAUACUAACAGGCCAGAAGAGCUUGCUUGAUUUUGGUCCUAGGCUCCUGCCUGUGGGUUGGAUUCCAGGGGCACUCUCUCCUCCACAAACCAGACGGUGGCAGGUACAUCCCCUCAAUGGAAAUUGCCCACACUUCACCCUAAAGACAGAUCCUGCUGUUCAGCAACAAUGUGAGUGGCCCACACAUUUGUCCAGCAUGAAACCGUUUGCAGAUUCCUUUCCAGUACACAGUCCCGUCAGCCGGUCACUUCACGAUGACAGCUCCUCGAAGCACCUUUUGGUUUGCAGUUGUGUAGCUUAGAAGUAGGAGCCUGCACGGCUUCAGGAAUUCACAGAAGGAGCACACUUUGUGCUUGGAGAAGUUAAUUAUAGGAAUAUCCUGCAACCUGCUGCUCUGAGCCUGUGCACCUGGGGUGUUUCCCUGGAGGUCCUGUGUAUGAGGAUACUCAUCAGCAUGGGGUUUGGGAAGCCUAGCAGUGGAGACAACCUAGGUGGUCCUCUCCAGGGGAGUAGGUAAGAGCCCUACAGCAGUGAAAAGCAUUGAAGGAAAAGUGUGUUCAGCAGUGCUCUUAAUCUGAUCAGAGCAGCCUGAACACAUUCUAAACACAGGGCAUUUAGAACUAGGGUAGAGGCACUAGAGCACCAUAGAUACAAACUCAGAUUCUGAAGGUAAAUGCCCAGGUUCAAAUCCAAGCCCCCUCGCCAAGUGACCAUGACUCCCCCGAGUCACCUGACCUCUGUGUUUACAUCCUCAAAGUUAAGUAGUCAGGAAAGGGGGCUUGGGGCUUGCCACAUGGAUGGUUGCCACUCUCCUUUGCAAAGUGUAGUCCCCAAAAACAGGUGGAAGAGGGAAGGGUCCAAUUAGAAGGCCGAGUACCAGCUGCCAUGAAUAUGCCAGAGCUGCUGGCUAGUGAUAAAUAACUGAAACCCAGGGGGACAGCAGAGCUUGGGUGACCAUACAUUCUAGGAAAGAAAACAUGCCUGUUGUCCUGGCUUUUUAUCCAGCUUAGACAAAGAUGGGCAAAGAAAAUAAUUUAGAAAAUGGUAGAGAUGGGCACAGAGAAAGGGCACGGAGGGAGGCACAAACAGAAGGCCAAGUGAUGGUGGAGGCAGACAUUGGAGAAAUGCCUUUACAAGCCGGGGAAUGCCAAGGAUGCUGGCAACCCUGGGAGUGGGAAGAACCUGGAACACACCCUCCGUCAGAGUCUCCAGAAGGAACUGGCCCUUCAUCACCUUUCGGACUUCUGGCCUCCAGAACUGGGCAAGAAAAUGUUUCUGCUGUUGGAGGCCAUCCAGCUGGUGGUCAUUUGUUAUGGUUGCCACAGAAAACGAAUAUAGAUUUAGACAUCUAAUUUGCAUAUAUAGAUAUGCAUGUGUAUUUGUUAAAUAAAAGAUAAAGC
rnacentral:lncRNA from 1 species